CAGCAGCCGCGGUAAUACGGAGGGUGCGAGCGUUAAUCGGAAUUACUGGGCGUAAAGCGCGCGUAGGCGGCUUGGUAAGCCGGUUGUGAAAGCCCCGGGCUCAACCUGGGAAUGGCAUCCGGAACUGUCAGGCUAGAGUGCAGGAGAGGAAGGUAGAAUUCCCGGUGUAGCGGUGAAAUGCGUAGAGAUCGGGAGGAAUACCAGUGGCGAAGGCGGCCUUCUGGACUGACACUGACGCUGAGGUGCGAAAGCGUGGGUAGCAAACAGGAUUAGAUACCCUGGUAGUCCACGCCGUAAACGAUGUCGACUAGCCGUUGGGUCCUUCGCGGACUUUGUGGCGCAGUUAACGCGAUAAGUCGACCGCCUGGGGAGUACGGCCGCAAGGUUAAAACUCAAAUGAAUUGACGGGGGCCCGCACAAGCGGUGGAGCAUGUGGUUUAAUUCGAUGCAACGCGAAGAACCUUACCUACUCUUGACAUCCUGCGAACCCUUCGGAGACGAAGGGGUGCCUUCGGGAGCGCAGAGACAGGUGCUGCAUGGCUGUCGUCAGCUCGUGUUGUGAAAUGUUGGGUUAAGUCCCGUAACGAGCGCAACCCUUGUCCCUAUUUGCCAGCGAUUCGGUCGGGAACUCUAGGGAGACUGCCGGUGACAAACCGGAGGAAGGUGGGGACGACGUCAAGUCAUCAUGGCCCUUACGGGUAGGGCUACACACGUGCUACAAUGGUCGGUACAAAGGGUUGCAAGUCCGCGAGGGCAAGCCAAUCCCAGAAAGCCGAUCUCAGUCCGGAUCGGAGUCUGCAACUCGACUCCGUGAAGUCGGAAUCGCUAGUAAUCGUGAAUCAGAAUGUCACGGUGAAUACGUUCCCGGGCCUUGUACACACCGCCCGUCACACCAUGGGAGUGGACUGCACCAGAAGUGGUUAGCCUAACCUUCGGGAGGGCGAUCACCACGGUGUGGUUCAUGACUGGGGUGAAGUCGUAACAAGGUAACCGUA
rnacentral:rRNA from 1 species